UUCGAAGGAGCUUGACUGCAAGACUCACCUGUCGAGCAGAGACGAAAGUCGGCCUUAGUGAUCCGACGGUGCCGAGUGGAAGGGCCGUCGCUCAA
rnacentral:ncRNA from 1 species